AUUACUUACAUAUGCUGAAACAUUGAAAAAAUUAAAAACACAACAUACAGUAAUUGAAAGUUAUGCUUUGUGGAUAUGGGCAUGCUAUUGAAAUCGAUGAAUCCAAAUUUGGCAAAAGAAAGGCAUCGAGUUGAAGGGCAAUGGAUGGCACUGGAAAUUGUUUCAUGGUUCCUGUUGAAAAUCGUAACGCCAACACCCUAUUAACCAUCAUUAAGCAGUGAGUGAAACCUGGAACCACAAUUAUUUCAGAUUGCUGGAAGAUGUACGACACCUAAAAAACGAGGGUUGUAUUCUCUGUUCAGUGAAUCUACAGCCUACAUUUCAAGGAUCCCGAAUCAGGUGUUCAUCCAAAUAUUAUCGAGAGUUCUUGGAGCUACGUCAAAGCACCGGUGUUGCAGCAUUGUAGAGGAAAAUAAUUUCUAAUUUCCUGCCAGUUUUUUUGAAAGCUGGAUUUUCAAAAUAGGGUUCUCGUUAUGGCAGUAUACUAAAAAGUUCUAUUGUAUUAUCUAUUAUUUUAAAUUAUUUUAUAUUACAUAGUGAUACACAUUUUAUCUUUACAUCUCCCAGUAUUUAUGUUAUAAAACCUAAUGCUAUUCUAGGUACCUAAUGGCAGUUAAGUUUGUAAUGUUUUGCGUGUAGUGUAAAUGUGUGUAAUACAGCGGGGGUUACUCUGACUAGUAUAUUUCAAGAUUAUAAUCAAUUUUUUAAAAUGUUAUUAAAAGUAUUUUAUAGCUUUUUAUCAAUAUUGAAAAGUCUGGUUAAAUUACACGUUAUACUAAUAUGUUUUUAUUUUUGUAUUAUUCCAUGUCAAAU